rnacentral:rRNA from 1 species
ACGAACGCUGGCGGCAUGCCUAACCCCUGCAAGUCGCACGAGACCUUCGGGUCUAGUGGCGCACGGGUGCGUAACGCGUGGGAACCUGCCCUUAGGUUCGGAAUAACUCCCCGAAAGGGGUGCUAAUACCGGAUAAUGUCUUCGGACCAAAGAUUUAUCGCCUUUGGAUGGGCCCGCGUUGGAUUAGCUAGUUGGUAGGGUAAAAGCCUACCAAGGCGACGAUCCAUAGCUGGUCUGAGAGGAUGAUCAGCCACACUGGGACUGAGACACGGCCCAGACUCCUACGGGAGGCAGCAGUGGGGAAUAUUGGACAAUGGGCGAAAGCCUGAUUCAGCAAUGCCGCGUGAGUGAUGAAGGCCUUAGGGUUGUAAAGCUCUUUUACCCGGGAUGAUAAUGACAGUACCGGGAGAAUAAGCUCCGGCUAACUCCGUG